rnacentral:rRNA from 1 species
GUCUUUUUGAGUUAUUUUUAAAGUCUGAUCUGCCCACUGAAUAUUUUUAAAUGGCCGCAGUAUUUUAACUGUGCAAAGGUAGCAUAAUCAUUAGUCUUUUAAUUGAAGGCUGGUAUGAACGGUUGGACGAAGUAUAAGCUGUUUCAUAUAAAAUUAUAUUAGAAUUUUAUAUUUUAGUUAAAAAGCUAAAAUUUUUUUAAAAGACGAGAAGACCCUAUAAAUCUUUAUAUUUAAUGUUAAUUGAAUUUUUUUGAUUUAUUUUAUUUUUUUAAUUUUGAAUAUUUUGUUGGGGUGAUAUUAAAAUUUAAUAAACUUUUAAGUAUAAAUUAAAUCAUUAAUUUAUGAAUAAUUGAUCCAUUAAUAAUGAUUAUAAGAUUAAGUUACUUUAGGGAUAACAGCGUAAUUUUUUUUGAGAGUUCAUAUCGAUAAAAAAGUUUGCGACCUCGAUGUUGGAUUAAGAUAUAUUUUUAGGUGUAGCCGCUUAAAUAUUGAGUCUGUUCGACUUUUAAUUUCUU